GAUGAACGCUGGCGGCGUGCUUAACACAUGCAAGUCGAACGAAGCACUUUAUUUGAUUUCCUUCGGGACUGAUUAUUUUGUGACCGAGUGGCGGACGGGUGAGUAACGCGUGGGUAACCUGCCUUGUACAGGGGGAUAACAGUUGGAAACGGCUGCUAAUACCGCAUAAGCGCACGGCAUCGCAUGAUGCAGUGUGAAAAACUCCGGUGGUAUAAGAUGGACCCGCGUUGGAUUAGCUAGUUGGUGAGGUAACGGCCCACCAAGGCGACGAUCCAUAGCCGACCUGAGAGGGUGACCGGCCACAUUGGGACUGAGACACGGCCCAAACUCCUACGGGAGGCAGCAGUGGGGAAUAUUGCACAAUGGGCGAAAGCCUGAUGCAGCGACGCCGCGUGAGCGAAGAAGUAUUUCGGUAUGUAAAGCUCUAUCAGCAGGGAAGAUAAUGACGGUACCUGACUAAGAAGCACCGGCUAAAUACGUG
rnacentral:rRNA from 1 species